rnacentral:rRNA from 1 species
UACGGGGGGAGCAAGCGUUGUUCGGAUUUACUGGGCGUAAAGGGCGCGUAGGCGGCCACCGCAAGCCGACUGUAAAAUCUCCGGGCUUAACCCGGAAAGGUCAGCCGAUACUGCGGGGCUAGAGUGCAGAAGGGGCAACUGGAAUUCUCGGUGUAGCGGUGAAAUGCGUAGAUAUCGAGAGGAACACCUGCGGCGAAGGCGGGUUGCUGGGCUGACACUGACGCUGAUGUGCGAAAGCGAGGGGAGCGAACGGG